CCUACGGGAGGCAGCAGUGGGGAAUAUUGCACAAUGGGGGAAACCCUGAUGCAGCAACGCCGCGUGAGUGAAGAAGGAUUUCGGGAUGGAAAGCUCUAUCAGCAGGGAAGAAGAUGACGGUACCUGAGUAAGAAGACCCGGCUAACUACGGGCCAGCAGCCGCGGUAAUACGUAGGGGGCAAGCGUUAGCCGGAUUGACAGGGUGUAAAGGGAGCGUAGACGGUGUGACAAGACUGAAGUGAAAGCGCGGGGCUCAACCCCGGGACUGCUUUGGAAACUGCCUGACUGGAGUGCUGGAGAGGCAAGCGGAAUUCCUGGUGUAGCGGUGAAAUGCGUAGAUAUCAGGAGGAACACCAGUGGCGAAGGCGGCUUGCUGGACAUUAACUGACGUUGAGGCUCGAAGGCGUGGGGAGCAAAAAGGAUUAGAUACCCCAGUAGUC
rnacentral:rRNA from 1 species